rnacentral:tRNA from 1 species
CAUUAAGUAUCUUAAAAAAAAGUAAUGAUUUUUUAAAUCAUUUAUAGUAUGAAUAAAUUACUCUUAAUGA